UUAUCAGACUUGUUACAAGGUUGUUCUAACAAGUCUGAUACAGUCAUGAUAUAACAAGAAUGUUACAAGAUUGACGACACAAGGUUGUAACAAUAUUGUUAUAUCAUGACUGUAUCGGACUUGUUGGAACAACCUUGCAACAAGUCUGAUAA